GAGAGAGAGAGAGAGGGAGUCAUUUGGCAGACCUGUCAGGCUGGGCUGUGGCAGCCCUCUGCUGUCACAUUCCACUAUAGGUCAUAUUGAAUUCAGCUCCCACACAAGCCGGGGGAAAUGGCAGGAAGGAAGGAUGCAGCCAUUCAUUUCUGCAAAGUCCGAAGUUUGAGAAGAAGCGCCGUCACCGCUGCUGAUGUGUGGUGUGACAAAAUGACAGAGUGGCACUUGGGAGACUUCACCUCAACUUCGCUGGUGUUUGUGGAUGAGAAAAUUAGCAAUGCGUGAAGAAACACUGUCAUAUUAGUGGUCUGAGCACAAAAGUCUCAGAUGGUCCUCUACUGCCCUCCUCUGGUAGUUGCAAAUAUGCAUCCAUCAACCCCAACACAGGCGUAUCACUCUGUGCGGUCUGGCUCCAUCCAUUUUUUGAUCAUGGCUGACACCGGGUGACCCAGACCCAGAGUCCUGACCGGUUGCCAGUCCAUCACAAACAGAAAAAGAGACUAAACAACUAUUGCACCUCACAUCCACACCUGAUGUGUAAUAAGAUAAGAAAAACUAAGAUUUUUUUUUAUUAUUUGUUUUUUGGAAGAUUUUUUUUUGUUUGUUUAAAUGUUUAAAUGUUCUCCCUGUGUCUGUGUGGGUACUCUCUGGGUACUCUGGCCUCCUCCCAGAGUCCAAAGACAUGUGUGUUAGGGUAGCUGAUGGCUCUGAAUUGACCACAGCUGUGAAUGCAAGUGUGAAUGAUUCUCUGUCUCUCUGUGUUAGCCCCAUGAUAGACUGGCAACCUGUCCAGUGCUUCACCCACACUUUGCCCCAUGACAGUUUGAAUCAGAUGUUAAAGUGUAAUGAACAUGGGCCUUUAUUGUGCUGUAAGUGAAAACUAUUAUCCUGUUAACACAAUGUCUUUUGGACAGAUGAGGACAAAGCUGAGAUGUAUGGUCACAAUGCACAGCGUCACAUUUGGAGAAAACCAACACAAACGUUUCAUACCACCUGUCAGGCUUGGUGGAGGAGGUGAUGAUUUGGGUUUGUUUUGCAGCUACGGGGUCUGAGCACCCUGCAAUCAUUGACUCAACAAUGUACUCUUCUAUAUACCAAAUUAUUCUAGAGUCAGAUGUGAGGCCAUCAGCCUGACAGCUGAAGCCGGCAGCAGCAAAUCUACAACAGAAAAGAGCCAAAAUGACUCUUGCUGUAAUGCAAUGACCCAGUCAAAGUCCAGACUUCAACCUGAUUAAAAUUCUGUACUGAGGCCUUAGGAGAGCUGUGCAUAAACAAAUGCCCACAAAUCUCAAUGAAGCAAAGGAAAAUUGUAAAGAUGUGUGGGGCAAAAUUCCUCCAGGGGAAUAUGAGAGUGUAAUAAAGUCAUAUGUAAACGGUU